rnacentral:rRNA from 1 species
CGCCCAGACUCCUACGGGAGGCAGCAGUGAGGAAUAUUGGUCAAUGGGCUUACGCCUGAACCAGCCAAGUCGCGUGAGGGAAGACUGCCCUAUGGGUUUUAAACCUCUUUUGUCAGGGAGCAACGCCGGCUACGUGUAGCCGGACUGAGAGUACCUGAAGAAAAAGCAUCGGCUAACUCCGUGCCAGCAGCCGCGGUAAUACGGAGGAUGCGAGCGUUAUCCGGAUUUAUUGGGUUUAAAGGGUGCGUAGGGGGAAUGCCAAGUCAGCGGUAAAAUCGCGGGGCUCAACCUCGCGCCGCCGUUGAAACUGGCGGGCUGGAGUUGGAGAGAAGUACGCGGAAUGCGCGGUGUAGCGGUGAAAUGCAUAGAUAUCACGCAGAACUCCGAUUGCGAAGGCAGCGUACCGGCGCCCAACUGACGCUCAUGCACGAAAGCGUGGGUAUCGAACAGGAUUAGAUACCCCGGUAGA